UCAAAGAUUAAGCCAUGCAUGUCUCAGUACAAGCCAAAUUAAGGUGAAACCGCGAAAGGCUCAUUAAAUCAGUUAUGGUUCCUUAGAUCGUACCCACAAUUACUUGGAUAACUGUGGUAAUUCUAGAGCUAAUACAUGCAAACAGAGCUCCGACCGGAGACGGAAGGAGUGCUUUUAUUAGAUCAAAACCAAUCGGUGGCGAGUUCGCUCGUUAUCGUACAACUUGGUGACUCUGAAUAACUUUACGCUGAUCGCACGGUCAUCGCACCGGCGACGCAUCUUUCAAAUGUCUGCCUUAUCAACUGUCGAUGGUAGGUUCUGCGCCUACCAUGGUUGUAACGGGUAACGGGGAAUCAGGGUUCGAUUCCGGAGAGGGAGCCUGAGAAACGGCUACCACAUCCAAGGAAGGCAGCAGGCGCGCAAAUUACCCACUCCCGGCACGGGGAGGUAGUGACGAAAAAUAACGAUACGGGACUCAUCCGAGGCCCCGUAAUCGGAAUGAGUACACUCUAAACCCUUUAACGAGGAUCAAUUGGAGGGCAAGUCUGGUGCCAGCAGCCGCGG
rnacentral:rRNA from 1 species